rnacentral:rRNA from 1 species
AUUGAACGCUGGCGGAAUGCUUUACACAUGCAAGUCGAACGGUAGAGGGGGCAACCCCUUGAGAGUGGCGAACGGGUGAGUAAUAUAUCGGAACGUGCCUAUUUGUGGGGGAUAACGUAGCGAAAGUUACGCUAAUACCGCAUACGCCCUGAGGGGGAAAGCGGGGGAUUCGUAAGAACCUCGCGCAAUUAGAGCGGCCGAUGUCGGAUUAGCUAGUUGGUGGGGUAAAGGCUCACCAAGGCGACGAUCCGUAGCGGGUCUGAGAGGAUGAUCCGCCACACUGGAACUGAGACACGGUCCAGACUCCUACGGGAGGCAGCAGUGGGGAAUUUUGGACAAUGGACGCAAGUCUGAUCCAGCCAUUCCGCGUGCAGGAUGAAGGCCCUCGGGUUGUAAACUGCUUUUGUACGGAACGAAAAGGUCUCUCUUAAUACGGGGGGGCUCAUGACGGUACCGUAAGAAUAAGCACCGGCUAACUACGUG